CACAAACAAGUCGUCAAGUCAAGCAGCUGAGGAAAGGGCUUAAGGAAACCAUGGUAUGGCCGCUUCUGACAGAAAGAUCAGACAUCAUUCCUCUUUUCUUACCAAGGGAAUCAGAGACUGCUCCCUGUUGUGAGAAGAUGAAGAUGAGGAAGAAGAGGAAUGCUCUCGAGGAUAAAUGCAGAGUGGCAGGUUACCUUCGGUCCUUCAUUGAAAAUGGUAAGUCUGCUGCGAUAGGUAUUUUGCCAUUGGUUUUCUCUGAUUAUACUUUGGUAAAUUACAGUCCAGUGAUCUUGGGUCAUUAACAAAGUACACUAUAGUAGAGCUGGGCGAUAUGAGAUUUUUUCAUAUCACGAUAUUUUUUAUUUUUAUUUUUUUUAUAAAAGGACAAGAGCGGUGAGGUCUAUCACAAUAGUUUAAUUUUUCUAUUGAGAAAAAGUUAUUUCGCAAUACAUAUCGUUAUCGUUCUAUCGCCCAGCUCUACGCUAUAGUAUAAUUUUGUUUUGUUAUUUGCUCCAUGCAAUACAUAAGAGUGGUGGCAUUAUCAGUUUCACUAGAAUUGUAUGUAGACUACUUUUAGCUUUGUUAACAUAAAAAUAUCUAUAAAAGCUACAACAGCAAUUUGAGUGGGGCAAAAAUGUCUGGUGCCCUGUAUGUAAGUGGUCAUCUUUUAUGGUAAAAGAUUCAAAAUAAUGAAUAUAGGAUGUCAUUAUAGUUUAAAACAAUCUUCUGUUGCAGCAUCUUGUGCACAACAAAAAGCCCUCAUCAAGUUUUGGACAGGAUGGGAAGUCUUGCCGAGAAAUGACUGUGGAAGUGGUCAACAGCAAUCUUCCAAAGUCUUCCACCGGUUUUGAAGUACUACGUCUUCCUGCACACUACUGUACCUAUGAGUCAUUUCUAAUGGACAUUCAGGUGUGUCUCAACUCUGACUCAGGUUUUGGUCUGGUUUACGAUUGAUUCCAUAACCACAUGGUAAAAUUAGACCAUUUCUUCUUUCUUGCAUCACAUUACUGUACUUGGUGUUCAAAGAAACGGACAAUCUAGUGAGUUCUAGUUCUUUUUAAUACACUUGACAGUGAAAAAUACAGAGUACAGGUGUGCAUUUAUGGCUUUUUUUAAUAUAAACUGAUGAAGAGUUCAGAUAUCAAAAUCAGUUGUUCACUGUACAUUAUAAAUUACACAGUAUGUUUUGUUUAUACUCGCUACUGAUACAAAAAAAAUUUCUAGAAAAAAUUAUUUGAAUUAAGAUGUUACACUACUGUACUGUGUUCAUUGUAUUAAAUCUGCUCAGAGUUGACAUGUACUGUAUAUCCAACCAAGAGAUGAAUAUCAUUAAAGUGACAGC
ensembl:lncRNA